rnacentral:lncRNA from 1 species
CUCCGGCAAAGGGCAGGAAGCCCGAACCGGAGAAAAGGGCAGCCUCCCAAAGACAAUGGGAACGGCUCGGUUGCCAAGGCGCCCCUUGGGCCUUCCUGCGCAGACCUGAGGAGCUCGGGAGGACAUCAAGGCCUGGACUCGGGGUCCUGGCCGGGAGGCGCUGGGACGUCGGCUGGUCAUGGGGGAGGGGGAGGCCUCCAGGCAUGGGAGCUGCGUCCUAAGGGCAGCUUCGUAGGGAUCACCAGCGUGGAAAGCUCUUGGGAGAGGGAGCCCAGAGCUGUAGUAGCCUCCAACUAUCCCCUCCUUUCCAGCAGAAAUGAGCUUUUGGAAACCUUUCGCAGUUUCCCUCAGGAUUUGCUGGAGAAGAAAAUGACAAACUUUCUGGAGAGUUAUGGUGCUGGGGGUCACAGAGAGAUGGACACAACUGACCAACAACACCCUACAAUGGAAUAUAACUCUGAUGGAAAAUGACAUGUGGCAAAUACAUAGGAGAAAGAAAGUUUUGAGCAUCCAUAUUGGCCUCUGAACCUGCUGGAAGAGACCCGGAAGUCUUGGGGUGAUGAAGCAGUGAGGGUCUGGGCCUGGGGCUGGGCCUGGUGGGGCAGCUCACACUGGCUAUCUGUUGGCUAGGAGGCAGCAGGAAUGAGGGGAAUGAAAGGAGAAGAGAUGUGAGCAGAGAACUCAGAGGAGCUGGGCCAGGUGGUUCUAUGUGCCUUUACUCUCUCCAACCGGCUUUCCCUUUGUAAUAAAUAAUUAUA